GACGAACGCUGACGGCGCGCUUCACACAUGCAAGUCGAACGUGAAGCCCGGGCUUGCCCGGGUGGAAAGUGGCGAACGGGUGAGUAACACGUGAGCAACCUGCCCCGAAGACCGGGAUAACACCGGGAAACCGGUGCUAAUACCGGAUGCCCUCGCCGGACCGCAUGAUCCGGCGAGGAAAGCUCCGGCGCUUCGGGAUGGGCUCGCGGCCUAUCAGCUUGUUGGUGGGGUCAAGGCCCACCAAGGCGACGACGGGUAGCUGGUCUGAGAGGAUGUCCAGCCACACUGGGACUGAGACACGGCCCAGACUCCUACGGGAGGCAGCAGUGGGGAAUCUUGCGCAAUGGGCGAAAGCCUGACGCAGCGACGCCGCGUGCGGGAUGAAGGCCUUCGGGUUGUAAACCGCUUUCAGCAGGGACGAAAUUGACGGUACCUGCAGAAGAAGCCCCGGCCAACUACGUGCCAGCAGCCGCAGUAACAC
rnacentral:rRNA from 1 species